rnacentral:rRNA from 1 species
AGUGAACGCUGGCGGUAGGCCUAACACAUGCAAGUCGAACGGCAGCACAGUAAGAGCUUGCUCUUACGGGUGGCGAGUGGCGGACGGGUGAGGAAUACAUCGGAAUCUACUUUUUCGUGGGGGAUAACGUAGGGAAACUUACGCUAAUACCGCAUACGACCUACGGGUGAAGGCAGGGGAUCUUCGGACCUUGCGCGAUUGAAUGAGCCGAUGUCGGAUUAGCUAGUUGGCGGGGUAAAGGCCCACCAAGGCGACGAUCCGUAGCUGGUCUGAGAGGAUGAUCAGCCACACUGGAACUGAGACACGGUCCAGACUCCUACGGGAGGCAGCAGUGGGGAAUAUUGGACAAUGGGCGCAAGCCUGAUCCAGACAUACCGCGUGGGUGAAGAAGGCCUUCGGGUUGUAAAGCCCUUUUGUUGGGAAAGAAAAGCAGCAGGUUAAUACCCCGCUGUUCUGACGGUACCCAAAGAAUAAGCACCGGCUAACUUCGUG